rnacentral:rRNA from 1 species
AUGUCGUAACAAGGUCUCCGUUGGUGAACCAGCGGAGGGAUCAUUACCGAGUUUACAACUCCCAAACCCAAUGUGAACCAUACCAAACUGUUGCCUCGGCGGGGUCACGCCCCGGGUGCGUCGCAGCCCCGGAACCAGGCGCCCGCCGGAGGGACCAACCAAACUCUUUUCUGUAGUCCCCUCGCGGACGUUAUUUCUUACAGCUCUGAGCAAAAAUUCAAAAUGAAUCAAAACUUUCAACAACGGAUCUCUUGGUUCUGGCAUCGAUGAAGAACGCAGCGAAAUGCGAUAAGUAAUGUGAAUUGCAGAAUUCAGUGAAUCAUCGAAUCUUUGAACGCACAUUGCGCCCGCCAGUAUUCUGGCGGGCAUGCCUGUCCGAGCGUCAUUUCAACCCUCGAACCCCUCCGGGGGGUCGGCGUUGGGGACCUCGGGAGCCCCUAAGACGGGAUCCCGGCCCCGAAAUACAGUGGCGGUCUCGCCGCAGCCUCUCCUGCGCAGUAGUUUGCACAACUCGCACCGGGAGCGCGGCGCGUCCACGUCCGUAAAACACCCAACUUAUGAAA